ensembl:lncRNA
GUGAACCCUAAUGUCACCAUGGACUUUGGGGGACUCUGCUGUGUCAUCAUAGGUUCAUCAGCUGUACAAAUGUGUCACUGUGUUGGGGAAGGUUGAUAAUGGGGAGGCUUAUGCAAGGGUGAGGUGGCAAUCUUGGCACCUUCUGGGCCAUAUCAUUGUGAACCUAAAACUGCUCUAAAAGCUGGAUUUCAGAGGGCAGGAGCUCUGUUUCCUACCCCUUCCCGCCUUCACAGUGCUGAUUGACAGCAUGUCAUGAAAUACUGGCAUUUACUGCGUGAGGCAGAUCCUAUAAGACUGAUUCCUUUGUGAGUUUCAUAAAGAGAAGAAACUCCCCCCAGAGCUGCAUAGGAUGGUGGUUCUCUGUUUCUCCCAG